rnacentral:lncRNA from 1 species
UACGUGGAAAAAGAAUUAUCGGUCACUAUAGAGGGCGUCAGGUCCUCACGAAUCCAACUAUGGUAGCUCUCCGCAAAGACCCUCGCCCGCCGUUUCGUCGAAAAGCCGAAAUAAGAAGGCCGGUGGUGGUGCUAAGCGCUGGGCACACCACAGUGUUUGGAAGCUGCACAGUGGCAACACAUGGAAUAGCACUGAAUGGGCCACCAUACGGAAUUCUUCCAGCUAUCCCCACACUAGAUACGUUAAAGGCUCCGUUCACAUCGGUGGUGCCUUGUCCAACCGUGUCGGUGUAACCAUUAAUGGCGCAGUCGAUUUCUACGGGUACCCCUGGAAUGCCUUGGCCGCCGGGGCAGUUCCCGGUGGUGGUGCAGCAGAGUCUGCCUUCGAAGUUAAUGUCCGGUUGGCCGUGGGCCAGUGGGUUUGUGGCGGCGACGACAAAAGAGGAGGACGAUGAGGAAAACGGAAGAGGCACGACUAUAAGCCAUUUCGAGAUUUGGUGCGUUUUUUAUGAUAUACUAUGUAAAGAAUACUAAUUAAUUUGUUGUGUUCAAAUACAAGGAAAAGAUCAUCCCCUAUUUAUAAUACAUUUUAUUUUGCUGCAUUUUUAAUUGCCUUGUUUAUUCCAAGAUUUCAUUCUAAAUAUCUUGUUAGCAAGUUUUUUGAACUAGGGGUUAACUAG